AGAGUUUGAUCAUGGCUCAGAUUGAACGCUGGCGGCNGGCUUAACACAUGCAAGUCGAACGAUGACUCUCUAGCUUGCUAGAGAAGAUUAGUGGCGGACGGGUGAGUAACAUUUAGGAAUCUGCCUAGUAGUGGGGGAUAGCUCGGGGAAACUCGAAUUAAUACCGCAUACGACCUACGGGUGAAAGGGGGCGCAAGCUCUUGCUAUUAGAUGAGCCUAAAUCAGAUUAGCUAGUUGGUGGGGUAAAGGCCCACCAAGGCGACGAUCUGUAACUGGUCUGAGAGGAUGAUCAGUCACACCGGAACUGAGACACGGUCCGGACUCCUACGGGAGGCAGCAGUGGGGAAUAUUGGACAAUGGGGGCAACCCUGAUCCAGCCAUGCCGCGUGUGUGAAGAAGGCCUUUUGGUUGUAAAGCACUUUAAGCAGGGAGGAGAGGCUAAUGGUUAAUACCCAUUAGAUUAGACGUUACCUGCAGAAUAAGCACCGGCUAACUCUGUGCCAGCAGCCGCGGUAAUACAGAGGGUGCGAGCGUUAAUCGGAAUUACUGGGCGUAAGGCGAGUGUAGGUGGCUCAUUAAGUCACAUGUGAAAUCCCCGGGCUUAACCUGGGAACUGCAUGUGAUACUGGUGGUGCUAGAAUAUGUGAGAGGGAAGUAGAAUUCCAGGUGUAGCGGUGAAAUGCGUAGAGAUCUGGAGGAAUACCGAUGGCGAAGGCAGCUUCCUGGCAUAAUAUUGACACUGAGAUUCGAAAGCGUGGGUAGCAAACAGGAUUAGAUACCCUGGUAGUCCACGCCGUAAACGAUGUCUACUAGCCGUUGGGGUCCUUGAGACUUUAGUGGCGCAGUUAACGCGAUAAGUAGACCGCCUGGGGAGUACGGCCGCAAGGUUAAAACUCAAAUGAAUUGACGGGGGCCCGCACAAGCGGUGGAGCAUGUGGUUUAAUUCGAUGCAACGCGAAGAACCUUACCUGGUCUUGACAUAGUGAGAAUCCUGCAGAGAUGCGGGAGUGCCUUCGGGAAUUCACAUACAGGUGCUGCAUGGCUGUCGUCAGCUCGUGUCGUGAGAUGUUGGGUUAAGUCCCGCAACGAGCGCAACCCUUUUCCUUAUUUGCCAGCGGGUUAAGCCGGGAACUUUAAGGAUACUGCCAGUGACAAACUGGAGGAAGGCGGGGACGACGUCAAGUCAUCAUGGCCCUUACGACCAGGGCUACACACGUGCUACAAUGGUAGGUACAGAGGGUUGCUACACAGCGAUGUGAUGCUAAUCUCAAAAAGCCUAUCGUAGUCCGGAUUGGAGUCUGCAACUCGACUCCAUGAAGUCGGAAUCGCUAGUAAUCGCAGAUCAGAAUGCUGCGGUGAAUACGUUCCCGGGCCUUGUACACACCGCCCGUCACACCAUGGGAGUCUAUUGCACCAGAAGUAGGUAGCCUAACGAAAGAGGGCGCUUACCACGGUGUGGUCGAUGACUGGGGUGAAGUCGUAACAAGGUA
rnacentral:rRNA from 1 species